AUACAUACGACUCUCGCAACGGAUAUCUCGGCUCUCGCAUCGAUGAAGAACGUAGCGAAAUGCGAUACUUGGUGUGAAUUGCAGAAUCCCGCGAAUCAUCGAGUCUUUGAACGCAAGUUGCGCCCGAAGCCAUUCGGCCGAGGGCACGUCUGCCUGGGUGUCACGC
rnacentral:rRNA from 1 species